UACGUAGGGUGCAAGCGUUAAUCGGAAUUACUGGGCGUAAAGCGUGCGCAGGCGGUUGGGCAAGUCCGAUGUGAAAUCCCCGGGCUCAACCUGGGAACUGCACUUGAAACUACGAUGCUGGAGUAUGGCAGAGGGAGGUGGAAUUCCACGUGUAGCGGUGAAAUGCGCAGAUAUCAGGAAGAACACCCGUGGCGAAGGCGGCUCUCUGGGACGGUACUGACGCUGAGACGCGAAAGCGUGGGGAGCAAACAGG
rnacentral:rRNA from 1 species